rnacentral:tRNA from 1 species
AUUUAAAUAGCUUAAAAUUAAGAGCAUUAUAUUGAAGAUAUAAAGGUAAUUUUUUAUUUUUAAAUA